AAAAAUAACAGCAUAUCUUUUCGUAUAAUCUCAAGAAUCGGCUUGAGAGUCUCUACGGGGUCACCGUAAAUGAUCCUUCUACGAAAGGCAGGAAAGCGUCC
rnacentral:ncRNA from 1 species